rnacentral:rRNA from 1 species
UGAACGCUGGCGGCAUGCUUUACACAUGCAAGUCGAACGGCAGCGCGGGCUUCGGCCUGGCGGCGAGUGGCGAACGGGUGAGUAAUGCAUCGGAACGUGCCCAGUAGUGGGGGAUAGCCCGGCGAAAGCCGGAUUAAUACCGCAUACGACCUGAGGGUGAAAGCGGGGGACCGAAAGGCCUCGCGCUAUUGGAGCGGCCGAUGUCGGAUUAGCUAGUUGGUGGGGUAAAGGCUUACCAAGGCGACGAUCCGUAGCUGGUCUGAGAGGACGACCAGCCACACUGGGACUGAGACACGGCCCAGACUCCUACGGGAGGCAGCAGUGGGGAAUUUUGGACAAUGGGGGCAACACUGAUCCAGCCAUGCCGCGUGCGGGAAGAAGGCCUUCGGGUUGUAAACCGCUUUUGUUCGGGAAGAAAUCCUCUGGGCUAAUACCCCGGGGGGAUGACGGUACAGGAAGAAUAAGCACCGGCUAACUACGUG